GUGCUCUGUACUUUAUCUGGAAAAGUAUGAAACUGUGAGUGAGUACAAGCCGAAAGAUGAGUCAAUCGAGUUCCUGGUAGUUUUCUUCUUCGUCCUUCAAGUGGCCACACUCGUCCUCACAUUCGCCACAUACUUUGCAUUCCGCGACAACUACAAAAAAAAUCUGUACUUCACUCUGAAGCACCGAUCCAUCGCGGUUAAUCGCAGUGAAGAUCUGGUGUUCGACUGGCGCCACCCUAUCUGGCACAAACUGUUCCCUGGUGCCGUGUUCGACCUCUCCGACAACCACCACAAACUCCUCAUACAGGAG